UACGUAGGGUGCGAGCGUUAAUCGGAAUUACUGGGCGUAAAGCGUGCGCAGGCGGUUAUAUAAGACAGUUGUGAAAUCCCCGGGCUCAACCUGGGAAUUGCAUCUGUGACUGUAUAGCUAGAGUACGGUAGAGGGGGAUGGAAUUCCGCGUGUAGCAGUGAAAUGCGUAGAUAUGCGGAGGAACACCGAUGGCGAAGGCAAUCCCCUGGACCUGUACUGACGCUGAGGAGCGAAAGCCAGGGGAGCAAACGGG
rnacentral:rRNA from 1 species